rnacentral:rRNA from 1 species
UUUUUUCCUCUCGGGUGCAAAGUAGGACGGGGCGGAGUAGCAGGGGUAGGGAGGGAGGAGAGAGGAGGAGCGGCGGUGUCCCCAGGGAGAGGAAGGAGUUCGUCGCCGCCGCCGCACUUUAUGUCACCCGAGCCGGAAGCAGCCGCCGGCCCAAGGAGAGGAGGCAGCUCGUCUCCGUCGCCGCCACCGCCGCCGCACUCUGCGUCCCCCGAGCCGGGAAGCAGCCGCCGCCCCAAGGAGAGGAGGCGGCUCUUCGCCGCCGCCGCGCCCUGCGUCGCGCUGGACUGACGCAGCCGUCGUCGCCCCAGGGAGAGGAGGCAGGUCACCUCCACCUCCAGCUCGCGUAGCACCGGCGACCUCAUCCUCUUCGUCGCCCGCCGCCCCGACUCCUACGGCCGCUCGCCCUCCUUCGCCCACUCGCGCACGCCGCCCUUGCGCCGCCGGCCCAGUUGGACCGCCAUCUUCUUCUCCGCGAGCUGUCCCAGGCACUUCUCGGUCGUGUGCAGCAGCUUCUUCCACUACCCUCGAGGCGUGUGUCGCAGGGGCCGCGGCCACGGUACACCCAAGCGAGGCACGUGGAAACGAAGGCGGUACCGAGCGACCGAAACGAACGAACCCACCCAGCCAGACUAGAAGAGAGACGGGUGAUGGUGAUAGACUUAUAGUGAUACGAGACGAACGAGUACACGGAUGCCUAUUCGCCCCAUCCAAACCGUGAUUAGACGACCUCACUAAAUAAUCGAGGGUACGACGUCACUUGUGUAAAGCAGGUCGGUGGCGAGCAUAAAGUCCGUAAGUGUUCUGGUAGUUCUGGCAGUUUUGCUUCCAAGUACAUAGAUACUUACGAACAGUUAAAAUAAGUUAAAACCUCUACUUACCCAUACAAAUUCUUAAGAAUUUAGUUUCAGACUUUGUAUGGUUUUCACCCGUUUAGUAUACAAAAAAUCCGAAUCUAAAAACGAUCCAAUAAUGCAUAAAGUUCACAUAAACAUAAUCAGUUCUGCACGUCGUUAAUAAUAGUAUGUUUUUUAGAUUGUUUAAUAUACUAACUACGAAGUAACUCAGAUGAUAAUUAUCCCAACGUAACACAAAAAUGAUCUUUCGACAUCGUCGGAUAGGAACUAAGUUCAGGUCUUACUUCAUACUUGUUAUAAAAUAGGUUAAAUGCACCUAACUGAAGGGUAUCUUCCAUUGACGCUUACGUAGCGGAGAUAUAAGAUUCUAGUGGAAAGUUAACUAUGAAUGAUAGAGAUUAUUUUUUACCAACCGGUCACGAUAUUUUCCGUGGUCGGAACGACGUGAUGAAUAAGAUUGGAUGUCAUUCCAUGAAGGCAAGGAAACCAUGUACAAAGAGCGACCACAUAUAGGAAAACAAGGCAGCUUGAUCGUUAUCAUAUCGAUACAGUUGCUUUAACGACGACGUUAUAACACAAAAUCUAACGUUAUGAUAUAAAUGUUAUAAAUUCACACUACACUCUCGCCAACAAUAAAAGUAGUGCCUUUAGAACUAAUUUCAACUACUAGGUCUUAAUUUCUUCGUAUACUCUAGACACAUUAUUUAACACAAAAGUAAUUUCUACAGAAUCACCUCUACAUAAGACUAAAAUGAAGUGUUAAGAGUUAAGAUAAUUCCGUAUAAAACAAUUGAAACGUAACGAACGUAUUAAAAUUCCUUUGGUUUCGUUGGUACAGUGAUAAAGAGCGUCCCCCACCUCGGCCGCUUCCACCUCGAUGACCGCACGUUUUCCCGCCGGGUUGACCGCCUACUCCAGUUACGUCGUGUAUAUGUGUAAUUCUACCUAACGUUCCUCUAUCAAGCCUUCGAAGUCUUAGAUAGAACCGUUCCCGGUGAUGUCCUUUUAGUACAAAACGGCACACUUUCUGAUAUUUGGCUCUCGAAAAAGAGCCCAUGUGCCGAAUACAAGAAGAUUUGGCUCAGAUGUCGGUUUUUGUAGGCCGUUGAUGUUUCCUGAGCCGAACACCGUCAGACAUUCGGCUCACCAGGUUUUUUCGAGAGCUGAAUGUUAUUCGUGUGCUGUAGAUGACUUUUUUCGUGGGCCAAAUAUCGAACAUGAGCCAUUUCUAUAUACGGUGCACAGAUGUUGCCUUCACCGACUGCCGCCGUAGUGUCUUGUCAGAUAUUCGGCACUCGGGAUAGUUUCGAGAGCCGAAUAUACCGUAUAUUUGGCACACGGGACAGUUUCGUGAGCCGAAUCUACCGUAUAUUCGGCACACGGAACACUUUCGUGAGCCGAAUGUAAAAACGUGUAAAAAAACGUUGGGCAUUGUAAAUACGUUUUUACCAAAAAUUUACUAAAGGUCC